rnacentral:rRNA from 1 species
CAAAGGCUCCAAAGGAAGCCACGGCUAACUCUGUGCCAGCAGCCGCGGUAAUACAGAGGUGGCAAGCGUUGUUCGAAAUUAUUGGGCGUAAAGAGCACGUAGGUGGGUUUGUAAGUCAGAUGUGAAAGCCUUCUGUUCAACGGAAGAAUUGCAUCUGAAACUGCGAGUCUUGAGUGUAGGAGGGGAGAAUGGAACUUCUGGUGGAGCGGUGAAAUGCGUAGAUAUCAGAAGGAACGCCGGCGGCGAAAGCGAUUCUCUGGCCUAUUACUGACACUCAGUGUGCGAAAGCUAGGGGAGCAAACGGGAUUAGAUACCCCGGUAGUCCUAGCCGUAGA